GAUGGGUAGCUGGUCUGAGGGGACGGCCAGCCACAUUGGGACUGAGAUACGGCCCAGACUCCUACGGGAGGCAGCAGUGGGGAAUCUUGGCCAAUGGACGAAAGUCUGAGCCAGCGACACCGCGUGGGGGAUGACGGCCUUCGGGUUGUAAACCCCUUUUCUGGGGAAAGAAUAAGGACGGGAGGAAAUGCCCGCCCGAUGACGGUACUCCAGGAAUAAGCAUCGGCUAACUCUGUGCCAGCAGCCGCGGUAAGACAGAGGAUGCGAGCGUUAUCCGGAAUUACUGGGCGUAAAGGGCGUCUAGGCGGUUCGGUAAGUCGUUGUGAAAUCCCUUGGCUCAACCGAGGAGAGUCUUGCGAUACUGCCGGGCUUGGGUGUAGGAGAGGAGGGUGGAGCUCACAGAGUAGCGGUGGAAUGCGUAGAUACUGUGAGGUACCCCGAUGGCGAAGGCAACCCUCUGGCCUACUACCGACGCUGAAGCGCGAAAGCGUGGGGAGCAAAGGGGAUUAGAUACCCCCGUAGUCCACGCCCUAAACAAUGUUCACUUGGUGUCGGCCGCUUAUACUGGUCGGUGCCGAAGCUAACGCGUUAAGUGAACCGCCUGAGGAGUACGGCCGCAAGGCUAAAACUCAAGAGAAUUGACGGGUCCCUGCACAAGCGGUGGAGCACGUGGUUUAAUUCGACGAUAAACGAAGAACCUCACCCAGGCUUGACAUACUAGUGGUAGAAACCUGAAAGGGGGCCGACCCUGCCUUCGGGUAGGGAGCUAGUACAGGUGAUGCAUGGCUGUCGUCAGCUCGUGUCGUGGGAUGUUGGGUUCAGUCCCGAAACGAGCGCAACCCUUGUCGUUAGUUGCCAGCGGGUAAUGCCGGGGACUCUAACGAGACUGCUGGUGAAUAGCCGGAGGAAGGCGGGGAUGACGUCAAGUCAUCAUGUCCCUUAUGCCUGGGGCGACACACAUGCUACAAUGGGGGGUACAAAGGGUCGCAAUCCCGUAAGGGGGAGCCAAUCCAUAAAAACCCCUCUCAGUUCGGAUUAAGGUCUGUAACUCGACCUCAUGAAGCCGGAAUCGCUAGUAAUCGCGGGUCAGCCAUACCGCGGUGAAUAUGUACUCAGGGAUUGUACACACCGCCCGUCACACCAACCGAGUGGGGGGUACCUGAAGUCGCUCUUCUAAGGGCGCCUAGGGUAACUUCCGCAAGAGGGGUGAAGUCGUAACAAGGUA
rnacentral:rRNA from 1 species